rnacentral:rRNA from 1 species
AAAGCGGAUUUGUCCUCGAGUAGGGCGGGACACGAGAAAUCCUGUUUGAACAUGGGGGGACCACCCUCCAAGCCUAAGUACUCCUCGAUGACCGAUAGUGAACUAGUACCGUGAGGGAAAGGUGAAAAGCACCCCGACGAGGGGAGUGAAAGAGACCUGAAACCGGAUGCCUACAAGCAGUGGGAGCGGGUUCUCCCGUCAGAUGACAGGUAACGGGUAUCAGGUAUCAGAAAUUUGCACGUCUGAUUCCUGAUCCCUGACUUCUGACAUCUGAUCGGUGAACCCGUGACCGCGUACCUUUUGUAUAAUGGGUCAGCGAGUUGGUGUUGCGAGCAAGCUUAAGCCGUUAGGUGUAGGCGUAGCGAAAGCGAGUCUGAAUAGGGCGCCUGAGUUCGUAGUAUCAGACCCGAAACCUGGUGAUCUAGCCAUGGGCAGGUUGAAGGUGGGGUAACACCCACUGGAGGACCGAACCCACCUAUGUUGAAAAAUGGGGGGAUGACCUGUGGCUAGGGGUGAAAGGCCAAUCAAACCAGGAAAUAGCUGGUUCUCCGCGAAAACUAUUUCGGUAGUGCGUCGUGUGUUUACCGCCGGGGGUAGAGCACUGGAUGGGCUAGGGGGCUCUACAGGCUUACCAAACCUAACCAAACUCCGAAUACCGGCGAGUAUGAGCGCGGCAGACAGACCAUGGGUGCUAAGGUCCGUGGUCGAAAGGGAAACAGCCCAGACCGCCAGCUAAGGUCCCCAAGUCAUGGCUAAGUGGGAAAGGAAGUGGGAAGGCCAAGACAACCAGGAGGUUGGCUUAGAAGCAGCCAUCCUUUAAAGAAAGCGUAACAGCUCACUGGUCUAGACAAGCCGUCCCGCGCCGAAGAUGUACCGGGGCUCAAGCCAUGCACCGAAGCUGCGGACGUGUGCUUGCACACGUGGUAGCGGAGCGUUCCGUAGGCCUGCGAAGGUGUGCCGCGAGGCAUGCUGGAGGUAUCGGAAGUGAGAAUGCUGACAUGAGUAGCGAUAAAGAGGGUGAGAAACCCUCUCGCCGAAAGUCCAAGGGUUCCUGCGCAAGGCUAAUCCGCGCAGGGUGAGCCGGCCCCUAAGGUGAGGGCGAAAGCCGUAGCCGAUGGGAACCAGGUUAAUAUUCCUGGGCCUGCCGGAGGUGACGAACGCCGAUAGUCGUAUCCGCUUAUCGGAUUGUGGGUGCGGCGUAGGCGUUCCAGGAAACAACCCCGGCAUUACAGACCGUACCCCAAACCGACACAGGUGGACAGGUAGAGCAUACCAAGGCGCUUGAGAGAACGGUGUUGAAGGAACUCGGCAAAUUGCACCCGUAACUUCGGGAUAAGGGUGACCUCCCGCCGGGCAACCGGUGGGGGGUGGCACAGACCAGGGGGUGGCGACUGUUUACUAAAAACACAGGGCUCUGCGAAGUCGCAAGACGACGUAUAGGGUCUGACGCCUGCCCGGUGCCGGAAGGUUAAGAGGAAGGGUGAGAGCUCUGAAUCGAAGCCCCGGUAAACGGCGGCCGUAAAUAUAACGGUCCUAAGGUAGCGAAAUUCCUUGUCGGGUAAGUUCCGACCUGCACGAAUGGCGUAACGACUUCCCCGCUGUCUCCAACACCGACUCAGCGAAAUUGAAUUCUCCGUGAAGAUGCGGAGUACCCGCGGUUGGACGGAAAGACCCCGUGCACCUUUACUACAGCUUUGCAGUGGUACUAGGGGGUGACUGUGUAGGAUAGGUGGGAGGCUUUGAAGCGUGGGCGUCAGCUCACGUGGAGCCAACCUUGAAAUACCACCCUUUUGUUCUCUGGUAUCUAACCGUGGCCCGUUAAUCCGGGUCCGGGACCCUGCAUGGUGGGUAGUUUGGCUGGGGCGGUCGCCUCCCAAAGAGUAACGGAGGCGCGCGAUGGUGGGCUCAAGCUGGUCGGAAAUCAGCUGUUGAGUGUAAUGGCACAAGCCUGCCUGACUGCGAGACUGACAGGUCGAGCAGAGACGAAAGUCGGCCAUAGUGAUCCGGUGGUCCCGCGUGGAAGGGCCAUCGCUCAUCGGAUAAAAGGUACGCCGGGGAUAACAGGCUAAUACCCCCCAAGAGUUCACAUCGACGGGGGUGUUUGGCACCUCGAUGUCGGCUCAUCACAUCCUGGGGCUGGAGCAGGUCCCAAGGGUUCGGCUGUUCGCCGAUUAAAGUGGUACGUGAGCUGGGUUUAGAACGUCGUGAGACAGUUCGGUCCCUAUCUGCCGUGGGUGUAGGAGACUUGAGAGGAGCUGCCCCUAGUACGAGAGGACCGGGGUGGACGUACCUCUGGUGGACCAGUUGUCGCGCCAGCGGCACAGCUGGGUAGCUAAGUACGGACGGGAUAACCGCUGAAAGCAUCUAAGCGGGAAGCCUCCCUCGAAACCAGGUCUCCCUUGAGAGCCGUGGAAGACCACCACGUUGAUAGGCCGGGUGUGGAAGCGUGGCAACACGUGGAGCUAACCGGUACUAAUCGCUCGAUAGGCUUGAGAGC